UACGUAGGGUGCGAGCGUUGUCCGGAAUUAUUGGGCGUAAAGGGCUCGUAGGCGGUCUGUCGCGUCGGGAGUGAAAACUCAGGGCUUAACCCUGAGCCUGCUUCCGAUACGGGCAGACUAGAGGUAUGCAGGGGAGAACGGAAUUCCUGGUGUAGCGGUAGAAAUGCGCAGAUAUAGGAGGAACACCGGUGGCGAAGGCGGUUCUCUGGGCAUUACCUGACGCUGAGGAGCGGAAAGUGUGGGGGAGCGAACAGG
rnacentral:rRNA from 1 species